GCAGUUGUGUCACAUGUUAACAAAAUAUUGCAACACACUGAACGUAAUGCGAUGUAAGAAAUACAGUAAACGCCUGUGUUCAGAGUUAAUGAAUUCGGAAAAUAAAUCUACUGUAAAAUAAGCGGUCAAGUCAUGCCAUCCAAUCGUAAUUACAAAAACUGUGGCUGGACCCGUCAGUAGACACGAAACAUGACGUGUGCCAUUGUACGUCUACCGGAACGCAUACCCAGUCCAUUCUGCUGGGAGAGAGGGUAUUCUGCAAAUGAGGUGAAACAGAAUGCUACAGUUAAGUUUCGAGCAUCUUCUAUAUUGGGGUUAAUAACUAACAGCUUUAACAUUUGCUGUAUUAAGAUCAAAGGCCAACAUCUUAAAUAUUUACUAUUCAAGUUGUUAUAAGUGUUCAAUUAUUUUGUCACAUAUCAGUAUGCUCAGUGUGUCACUAAAUAAACUGUUUUCGAAGGA